CAUAUAAAAGAGGGCAUAAUGUGCAGUGUAUGUAUCACUAUUAUCAAGAUGCUCAAAUCGGCAACAUUUCUUUGCUUUCUUUUUUUACUAAGCGGUGUUAUAGGUCAACAAGGGCCAUGUCCUUUUGGGUUAUUUCCGGUAAGCAGAACAGCGUGUGAUUUUCAUUCCGAUUGUCCACAGUCGUUUGAAGGGUCAUUUUGUUGGCACACUCCGACUAGGACGUAUGGUAUAUGCUGUCCUUGGUGGUGGUGAUAUCGGAAUGAAGGAUGCUGUUUGGACUGUAUCAUUGUAUGACAAAAGCAAGUAUCAUAAAAUAAAUCAACUUCAAGAAUGUUUAUGCCUCCUUCCUCUACACUACAAUACUACCAGCAAACAUGUCUAUGCAGGGAUACUACAUGUAUCUACGUGUUUUCAUGUAUGGAAAAUUAUCAACGUUUAGGUGUUACCAGUCAAAAAUAUCAUUGUGACAUCACAAUAUUAAGAUUAAAAUUACGUUAACAUUACAAUACACAACCUGGUUAUCCCAUUUUGACUUGGAAAAAAGAAUACCUAGAGAAAGCUAAACUUUCAAGCAUGAGAUAUAAACAUUAUACUUACAAACAAUUCUACAGAAAUUUUAGUGAAUUUGAAAUCACAACAUUUUUCGCAAAUCAACAACACCCCCAACGUAUGACUUUUCAACUCUUUACACAACCAUUCAUCACGAUAAAUUACAUCAUAGACAGCUGCAUUGUCAAUAAAAUGAAAAACGGAAAUAUUCAUAUAUGGUAUAUGUAUAUCCGUGUUUGCCCAACUAUCUAAUUUGUAUUGCUUGUAGGAGUUAUGAGAUUGAUCACUGUUCGUUAUCUUCACCUUGCAUGAAUGGUGAAGAUAACGAACGGUGAUCAAUCUCAUACAUCCUAUAAGGAAUACAAAAUUAAGUGUAGGACAAACACGGAGCCCUGGAUACACUAGAGGUGGGAGCAAGUGCCUAGGAGAAGUACGCAUCCUUGUCAAGGCAUGCAUCUUCUGGUCAGUCAUCCAAAUAUUACUUUGUUAAACACCACUCUAAUUUAAACACAAGUACUCUAAAGUUGAUAUAAAAAACGUGUUGGAAUUUCUUACGGACAAUAUAUAUUUUAGUCUUUAGUCUUCUAAAUCGUUUGUUGGAAUUCCAAUGGGUACGACUUGUGCUUCUGUAUCAGCUAGGUUAGCUAGGUUUAUAUUCUAACGAGACAUAAUUUAUUGAAAAUCUUCAACACAAAAAAGACAGAAAUUCAAGUCGACAUAGAUAUAUAUCGACAGUGUUUUAUUUGUAAACAAUAUUCAUAUAUCCAUUCAUAUGUCGAUUUGAUAUAUCCCUGUGAAUUCGACAUUCAAUACACCACAUUGUCCUCCAAAUCGGCUUCGUACUUAGAUAUUUCAUUGAAAAUAGAUAUUAACGGCAAACUAACAACUCAAAUGACAAACGGGUUAAUUUCAGCUUCUCCAUUGCCAAAUUUCGAUUAUUACCUGCGUAUGAUGUUCAUAUUUCUCAACUGAUUUGAUAUGCAAGAGUUUGUACUGCGUAUGAUCAUUUUUUUUUUUAGAUCGAGGCAGGCUACUCACAAACAAGAUGAUGUUACAGGAGUUUCAACAGUCUCGUUGAAAGUCAACAUUUCGCAAAGUCUAUGGUCGUUAAAACGAUCUACGUUGCCAAUACAGCCUGUCAUCGUGCAAAAUGCUGUCUGACAUGUUUCAUAUCAAUUGUUAGACUGACAGGGGAUGUUUACUCCUCUUAGAUACCUAAUUCCACCUCUUGUAUAUCUGUAUUUGUCCAAUUCUCUACUUUGUAUUCCUUGUGGGAGUUAUAAGAUUGAUCACUGUUCGUUAUCUUAACCAUUAGAAAUAUUUCAUUAUCACUUGGAUAUGGUGAUUUUGUACCUAAUCUUAUUCGAUAAGUAGAAGUUUGUUCUGCGUAUGAUAAGUCAAGUUGUUAGUUUUUUGUUAACAUAUAUCUUCAAUAAAAUAUCGAAGUACGAAGGAGAUGUGGAAAUCUCUUUAGGGUCUUUUCUUUCGCGUUCACUGGGAUAUAUCGAAUCAACAUAUGAAUAAAGAUGAUUAUUGUUAAUGAAUAAAACGUCGUUGAUAUAUCUAAAUUUCGACUUGAAGGUCACAGUAAAAGAUUUUUUGCCGGGUUGCAGAACGUUUUAAGUAUGGUACCUCCUUUGUGUAGCCAACUCUUCUGACAGCUUUAACUUG